rnacentral:ncRNA from 2 species
UAAUACAUAAAAUUUAUAGGUUCCAAAUGGAUUAAAUGGGAAAGAAGUUAAAUACUUCUGCGGUCCCGCCACUGUAAAGAUGAGUAUAUUAGCAUUAUGCCACUCAAUCGGGGAAGGCGUUAAUAUGCAAUGAAUCUAAGCCAGGAUACCUGCCUGUAAACACAGCUCAUU